GACGAACCGAGCGAACGUUGUUCGGAAUCACUGGGCUUAAAGGGUGCGUAGGCUGCGCAGCAAGUUGGGUGUGAAAUCCCUCGGCUUAACCGAGGAACUGCGCCCAAAACUGCUGUGCUCGAGGGAGACAGAGGUGAGCGGAACUUAGGGUGGAGCGGUGAAAUGCGUUGAUAUCCUAAGGAACACCGGUGGCGAAAGCGGCUCACUGGGUCUCUUCUGACGCUGAGGCACGAAAGCUAGGGGAGCGAACGGG
rnacentral:rRNA from 1 species